rnacentral:rRNA from 1 species
CAGCACCUCAAGUGGUCAGGAUGAUUAUUGGGCCUAAAGCAUCCGUAGCCGGCUCUGUAAGUUUUCGGUUAAAUCUGUAUGCUCAACAUACAGGCUGCCGGGAAUACUGCAGAGCUAGGGAGUGGGAGAGGUAGACGGUACUCGGUAGGAAGGGGUAAAAUCCUUUGAUCUAUUGAUGACCACCUGUGGCGAAGGCGGUCUACCAGAACACGUCCGACGGUGAAGGAUGAAAGCUGGGGGAGCAAACCGGAUUAGAUACCCGAGUAGUCC